GCCAGCAUGACGUAGUGGUUUGAGUGCUGGACUAGGAUUCUGGGAGACCAGGGUUCAAAUCCCCGCUCAGCCA
rnacentral:tRNA from 1 species